CCUACGGGUGGCAGCAGUGAGGAAUAUUGGUCAAUGGGCGCGAGCCUGAACCAGCCAAGUAGCGUGAAGGAUGACUGCCCUACGGGUUGUAAACUUCUUUUAUAAAGGAAUAAAGUGAGGCACGUGUGCCUUUUUGUAUGUACUUUAUGAAUAAGGAUCGGCUAACUCCGUGCCAGCAGCCGCGGUAAUACGGAGGAUGCGAGCGUUAUCCGGAUUUAUUGGGUUUAAAGGGUGCGUAGGGGGACUGUUAAGUCAGCGGUAAAAGCCCGGGGCUCAACCCAGGCGAGCCGUUGAAACUGGCUGUCUUGAGAAGACGAGAGGUAUGCGGAAUGUGCAGUGUAGCGGUGAAAUGCUUAGAUAUCACGAAGAACUCCGAUUGCGAAGGCAGUUCACUGGACUGCAACUGACACUGAGGCUCGAAAGUGUGGGUAUCAAACAGGAUUAGAUACCCCAGUAGUC
rnacentral:rRNA from 1 species